AAUUCAUGUUGUACAAUUGGAUGGCGCAGCUACAUAUUAUGUCUGGUCAACAUCUUGCUUGGUUUUUAUCAAUUUUCUAUUGAUUUGACUAUAGCUAGAGUCUGUCACAACGAGUGUUAUCUUUUCUCCAGUGAUAUACCCAAUCAAUUUGAUAAAAAGCAAGCAAGAUCUUGACCAAGCAAGAUAUGUACCUCCACCAUCCAAGAAAAGGAAAGCACGAAUUUUUCGAGAACAAGUCUAAAUAU
rnacentral:misc_RNA from 1 species